rnacentral:tRNA from 2 species
GCUAGCGUAGCUUAUGUAAAGCAUAACGCUGAAGAUGUUAAGAUGGCCCCUAGAAAGGCCCGCAAGCA